rnacentral:lncRNA from 1 species
AUGCUUUGGAAAGAGAAAAUCUUACUGGAGAAAACCAUGCCAAGCCUGAGAACAUUGAGUACCCAAGGCCAAGCUCAACAAGGGCAGAGAACUUUCCGGCAAGAAAUUAUCCCAUCUGUAACAAGGCCAGUCUCAUGGUCUACAGCUCACAAUUGGCAAGAAGAUAGUAAGUAUCCUUUGCUCUGUUUGUCCUGCUCUUUAACUUACUCCCACUUACUUAAGCUUUUACCAGUUUUUCUAAGCAUCACUCUGCUGGGAAGUUCCCCAAGCAGCUGUCCUG